UGUACUUUUUCAAUUCCAAGUUAAAACAUCUGUUCAAAAUAAACAGGCUUUUAUAAAAAUAAAUCUACCUAAAAAAAAAAGCAAAUAGAUGAGUCUCUAUAAGGAAAAGGUGGGACUUCUAUUUUUUAUUAUUUAAAGAUUUACUUAUUUAUUUAAAAGGCAGAGAUACAGAGAAAAAAAGGAGAGCAAGAGCAAGAGAGAAUCUUCCAUCUGCUGGUUCACUCCCAAAAUGGCCACAACAGCCAGUUCUGGGCCAGGCUAAAGCCAGGAGCCAGGAGCUUCUUCUAGGUCUCCCAUGUGGCUGACAGGGGCCCAAGAACCUGAGCCAUCAUCCACUCCUUUCCCAGGCACAUCAGCAGGGAGCUGGAUAGAAAGCAGAGCAGCCAAGACUCAAACUGGCAUCCAUAAGGGAUGCUGGCAUUGCAGGCAGAGGAUUAACUUUCUAUGCCACAGUGCCAACUCUAAUAGUGGAACUUUUAAAAGCUACUGAAUAAGGCCAGGGGCUCAUUUUCUUUCCUAUACAUGCUUAAUUUAAUUUCCUUAAUAUCCUACUACUGAUAUAGAGUACGCUGUUAGAUACAUGGGUAUGGAGUUGGAGUUCAGAAGUUUAGCAGGCAAGGAUAGACUUAAGACAUUAAUUAGUAAUCAGAGUGUGCAGGACACAUUUUUAUCUCCAAGGGAGGGAGUAUUGAGAGAGAAGAAAAAGUUUUGUAAUGAGGUCACACAAAAGGCCAGGCUAUGAGGAGGAGCCUGCAACAUAAGAGGAAAAGAACAAUGUAUUCUAGGAAGUUGAUAAGCAAGUGUUUGGUGAUUAGGGAAGCAUAAACUGGGUCAAAUUUUCUAAUAUGUGCAAUAAGAUCAGAACCAAAUUUUGAUCAUGGAUUUUAAUAAUGUGGAGAACAAGAGCAUUUUCAGCAAGGCAAUGAAAGCCUGUUUGGCUUAAAUAAGAGAAAAAAUGUAGAAAAGUAAAAAUUUUAUAUAUAAACCAUUCAAUGCAAGUUUUGCUAUGAAUUAAUGCAGAGAAAUGGGGUAGCAAAAAUAAAGUUAGAGUCAAGAAUGAAUAUUUCGAAAGCCCAAUGUUUGUGUGCUAAUGACAAUUAUCUAGUAAGAAGUGACUUAUUGUUCAGGCAAGGAAGAGAGGACAUUUCUUGAAGCCAUGUCCUUAUUCAGAAUAGAUAUGAUUUAAUCUAGUGCUCAAAAGGAGAAGUUGAAAAAAAAAUCAAAACCACAGAGAAGAGCAGUUCAAGAAACUGUGGAGCUGGAACGUAGGAAGACUCAUCUACUUGGACAAUUGAAAUUCCCAUGGAGUGAAAUCGGAGAGCCAGAACUGAAACAGUGAGGUUUUAGUGCCCUGAGCAGCAGGAAAGUGAUGGAAACUGAAGAAGAGACUAGGCCUUGCACAUUCCCUGCCUCUGGAAAGGGCACACCUGCCACACAGCUCUUUAAAGACUGGACUGCCAUUGGGAAAGAAAUCUGGCUGGGGCCUGGCCAGGUAAUCUGUCUUCAUUGUCCCUCCUCCUCUUAGCCUCUAGAGUGGCUCAGUAUGGUUGGAAUGCAGUGCUCAUGUCCAUUUGUUUUGUUAAAUGAAGUCAGCAACUAGUUGCAAGGGUGGGCUUAUUGACUGAUAAGUCUUAACUAUUGUUCUGUUCUAGUGAGUUUGUGUGUAAGCAUGUCCACAUGUGUACUGUGUUAUGGGCAACAACCAAAUUAUUUUUCAGUUCUCUACAGUAGCUAUUAGAUACUCAGUGUGCUCUUGUUCUUCCAAAAACUGAAUCAGCAUGGGCUACUGAGCUAAUAGGAAAUGGAAGAACUUAGAUUCCUAAUACUUUUUUAUUUCUUUUUUUUUUUUAUUUUCUCAUAAGCAGUUAAGCCGUUCAUGUUGGCCAAAGACAGAAGCCUAGGAUUUCUUCCUCUAUCACCCUUCCCUGAAUCUUAGUUUCCAUGUCUAUAUGGAAAGUCACAUUUACAGACAGAGAAUCGGGCAAAGGUCCAUAAAUAGAAAGUGACUGUAUGAAAUCACAUGCAGAAUUUACAAUCUUAUUUUUAUGCGUAUCUCUGUAUUUGAUUUAUUCUAGGAAUUUUGAUAAUCAUGCUCUUAAAUCAUUUCUAAAACUGUCAGUAAUUUGCAUCAUGGUUGGGCCAGGAUAUUGCAAAACUGAAUAUUCAUACAAGUGCAAAUCAUUUAUUUCUGCUUCUCUAUAGACCUGGAGCAAAUACACUUUGAUUUAAAUUUUCAUCAGUAGAGACACCAGGUAGCCUCUCUUGCUCAUUUACAAAAGAGCUACCUACUACACUGUGUUCCAAUUUAUAGUCUGAAAUAUGUUUAACACAUUUUACAAAAUGUUUCCUAAUGUCCUUCUGAAGAUAUGACUCUUCAUAAGGUUUAAAAUAGUUUCAUUACAACCACUUAAUUUGCAUUUAUUAAGUUUUUUUUCUAAGUCCAGUUCUUGUUUUGCUGCUGCCAGGCUACUGUAGAAACAUUAGAGGGGCCUGUGAUGUGGCAUAGCAGGUAAAGCCUCUGCAUGGGGUGCUGGCUUCCCAUAUGAUUCCCAUUGGAAUCCUAGAUGCUCCACUUCAGAUCCAGCUCCCUGCCAGGGUGAUUAGAAAAAACAACAGAAGAUGACUCAAGUACUUGGGUCCCUGUGUGGGAGACAAAGAUGGAUUUCCAAGCUCUUGGCUUCCGCUUGGCCCAGCCCUGGCCGUUGUAGCCAUUUGGGGAGUAAACCAGAGGAUGGAAAGUCUCUGUCUCUCAGUAACUCUGCCUUUCAAAUAAAUAAGUAUAUCUUUUUUUAAGAAAAAAAUUAGAGAUUUUCUGAUGACCAAGAGGCCAAAAUUCACACGUGUUGACUUUGUUAUCCUAACCAGAGUGCAUCUUGUUAUCUGUGCCACACGAUGUCCUAGAAUGGAAAAUGACAUGUAGUAGAGUAGCUGCAUAAACCUAUAAAAAUCAUGGGGUGAACUGGUGAAAAAUGAUGUGCAUAGCCUUGCACCAAAAAUGGUUGCACAGGCUGUGUAUUGCCCAUUUUUUGCCAGUAUCAUUCAAAAAGUAACAAAGUUUCUUUAACUUGCUUGAUUGUACACCAUGGCUCUGAUUACAAAAAAAAAAAAAAAGUAACCAAAGGGAACAUUUAAAAACAUAACAUUAGGGAAUAGCUUGAACUGUAGGCUCUCUGAGUUCACACCUCUCCAGUUUGAAGCCCUGUGUCCUUGUGAUAAUUUCUAACCUUCUCUAAAUCUUAAUUUCCUGUCCCCAAAACAGAAGAUUUACAAAACAGUUCCCCCGUCACUUAAUUGAUAUAAGAUUGGAGGAAUAUAAUAGUGAUAAAAUAUUUAGCACAUUACUGAUAGGUGUAAGUAAGUUUCAGUUUUCAUUAUUGCCUUUAAAAAAAAAAGUUAAAACAGAAAAAUCACUCCAGUUGCCAGACUGGCAUGUAAAUAGAAGCUUGGAAGUUGCUACUCACUCCUAAACAGAAAUGAAAAGUUGGACAAACUGUAAAUCAAUAACUUUUCUUAAAUCCUUCAGAGAAGUGAGAAUGCAGAACACAAUUCAUAAUCAGAGAGCCGGGUAAAUCACAACUCGCUGGCGCGGAACCCAGGAGCAGCAAACUCCACUGGCAGCACAGCCAGGGUAGGAAGACCCGGACUGUACCUGACAAAUUGCUGGAGGCGCGUGGGCAAGUCUGAGAGUUGGCGCCUCCAGGGGAUGCAGUCAUGGGGUGUCCCCACAUGUUGGUGGGUUUACCUCUAGAAGUUCACUAGGUCCUCACAUUGAACACUGCAGAAAUGCCACCUCAUGCUUCUGGAAAGGGGUGAGGAGAGGAACUAUUUUGAAAUAUCGUGUUAUAUUCUGUUCUUUUUUUUUUUUUUUUUUUUUAAUUUUUUUGACAGGCAGAGCGGACAGUGAGAGAGAGACAGAGAGAAAGGUCUUUGCCGUUGGUUCACCCUCCAAUGGCCACCACAGCCGGCACACAGCGCCUAUCCGAAGGCAGGAGCCAGGUGCUUCUCCUGGUCUCCCAUGUGGGUGCAGGGCCCAAGCACUUGGGCCAUCCUCCACUGCACUCCCGGGCCACAGCAGAGAGCUGCCUGGAAGAGGGGCAACUGGGACAGAAUUUGGCGCCCGACCAGGACUAGAACCCGGUAUGCUGGUGCCACAAGGCUGAGGAUUAGUCUAUUGAGCCACGGCGCUGGCCAUAUAUUCUGUUCUAAUUAGCAUGGUUUGCCUUCAGGACAAACUAUUUUGCCAGAGCUUAACUGACCUAGGUCAAAUACCCAACUCCAGGUGGCUCUUGCUUUCCACGCAGAGAAAGAGAAAUUCUCAAUCCAGUCCACUCUAGACACCCUGUCCCGCCUAAGGGGGCAGGGGAAUGGAGAAGCAGGUGUGAAGGUCGCAAUCCAGAGGCACAGGGCCAGUGAAAGACUGAGAUGGAAUACAAGACUGGAGAAUAGCCCUGGCCACCACCUAGAAUAUUACAGAAAGUUUUAGUACAUCACAUCUGGCUUUCUUUUUUAAAAGAUUAUUCAAGAUAUACAAAUUUCAUGUAUUUCAUAUAUACAGAUCUGGGAACAUAGUUAUUUUCCCCACCCUACCCUCCCUGCCACCCAUGCUCUCACUCUUCAUCCUCCCUCUUGUAUUCACACUUAAUUUUUACAAAGAAAGAUCUACUUUCAGUUUACUUUAUACUCUUAAGAUUAACCCUACACUAAGUAAAGAGUUUAACAAAUGGUAUGAAGAAAAAGGCACUGUUCCUCAACAGUAGAGACAAGGGCUAUAAGCAAUCAUUGAAUCUCAAAAUGUCAAUUUCACCCUUAUACAUUACAGUUUAGGUUUCAAUACAAAACUCUAAGAUGUACUGAAAUAGUAAGAAGCACUGUUUGAAGAAACAGAGACAGCAUCAAACCCAGAUUCAUAGAUGGCAGGAAUGCUGGAAAUAUUAGGCUGGGAAUUUGAAAUAACCGUGAUUAAUAUGCUAAGGGUUCUAACAGAUAUGAAGAACAGAUGGGCAAUGGAAGCAGAGGGAUAGAAAUUCUCAAUAAGAGCCAAAAUGAUAUUCCAGAGAUCAACAAUGUAACAGAAAUGCAAACUGCUUCUGAAGAACUUUGUAGACUGGCCAUGGCAGAGUAUAGAUUCUCUGACCUGAAGAGUAGCUCAAUAGAAGAUUUCCAAACCGAAAACUGAAGAGAAAAAAUAUGAAAAACAAACCCCGAACAGCACAGAACCGUCCAAGAGUUAUACAGAACUCAAGGAGGUCUUCCAUGCAUGCGGUAAGAGCAGCAGAAAGGGAAGAAACAGAACAAAGGAACAGAAGAAAUAUUUGAAAUCAUGGCUAAGGAUUUCCCCCUCCAAAUUAAUGUAGGAGGACAAGCUAUGGAUCCAGAAAGCACAGAGAAUACUGGAUAAAUCAUUUUCUUAUUACAGAAAAUUAAAAAAAUGAAGAAAAAAUCCUGAAAAUAGGUAGUGGGGAAAAAUGUCCUUCCCCAUUGAGGAAUAAAGGUAAGAAUUACAGUUGACUUCUCAGAAAUCAUGGGAGCAGGAUGAGAAUAAAGUGUAAUAUUUAAAGUAAUGCAAGAAAGAUCUAUCACCAACCUAGAAUUCUGUCCCUUGAGAAAUUAUCCUUUAAAAGGAAAGGAGGAAGGAGGACAUUUGGCCUAACAGUUAACACACUGGUUAAGAUACCCAUUUCUCUCAUUGGAGUGCUUGGGUUCACUGCCUGGCUCUGGUUCUUGAUUCUGAUUUCCUGUUAAUGCAGACCCUAGAAAGCAGCAGGUGAUAGCUUAAGCAGUUGCAUGUCUGCCACCCAUGUGGUGGACCUGUCCACAUUCAAGGAUUGGAAGAAUUAAUAUUAUUACAAUGUCCAUACUACCAAAAGUGAUGUAGAGAUUCAAUGUGAUCCCAAUCAAAAUACCAACAAUAUUCUUCUCAAAUCUAGGAAAAAAUAUGCUAAAAUUUGUAUGGAAACUGAAAAGACCCCGAAUAGCUAAAACAAUCUUAACAAAAACAAAGCUGGCAACAUCACAAUACCAGGUUUCAAGACAUACUACAGGGCAGUUAUAAUCAAAACAGCCUGGUACUGGCACAAAAACAGACAUAUAGAAACAUAUAGACUAAUGGGAGAGAAUAGGAAUCCAGAAAUCAGUCGAACAUCUACAACCAACAAAUCUUUGGCAAAGGAGCUAAAAUCAAUCCCUGGAGAAAGGAUAAUCUCUUUAACACAUGGUGCUGGUAAAAUUGGAUCUCCACAUGCAGAAGUAUGAAGCAUGAUUCCUACUUUAUACUUUAUAUAAAAAUCAACUCAAAAUGGAUCAAGGUUCUAAAUCUAUGACCUGAUACCAUCAAAUUACUAGAGGAGAACAUUGGGGAAAUGCUGCAAGACACUGGCAUAGCUAAAAGCUUCUUGGGAAAGACUCCAAAAUCACAGGCAAUGAAAGCCAAAAUAUACAAACAGGAUUAUAUCAAGCUGAGAAACUCCUGCACCACAAAGAAACCGCUCAGCAAAGUGAAGAAUUGGAGAAAAUGUUUGCAAACUAUGAAACUGAUAAAGGAUUAAUAUCCAGAAUCUAUAAAAGCUCAAGAAUCUCAGCAAUAACACAAAACACAAUCCAGGUAAGAAAUGGGCAAAGGACUUGAACAGGCAUUUUUGAAGAGAUAAGUUCCAAUGUCCAACAGACAUAUGAAAAAAUACUCAGAAUCAAUAGCCAUCAGGGAAAUGCAAAUCCAAACCACAAUGAUGCUUCCCUUUACCCCAGUUAAAAUGGCUGUUAUAGAGAAAUCAAGAAACAAUAAAUGCUGGUGAGGAUGUGGGAAGAAGGUACCCUUAUGCAUUGUUGGUGGGAAUAUAAACUAGUACAGCCGUUGUAGAAGACAGUAUGUAGAUACCUCAGGAAUCUGAAAAUAGAAUAAAAUAUUACAUGAAAUUUGUUUACCUUAAAUAAAAAAAAAGCUUGGUAAAUUAGCAAUACAGGUAGGCAGGGAGACUUCCUCAGCUUGAUAACGAAUAUUUAUAUAAAACUUACAGCUAAUCUAAUGCUUAUGGUAGCUUUUACACUAAGAUCAGAAAAAGGCAAGGCUGUUCCCAUUUACCAUUGUUUUUCAGUAUUGUAUCAGAGGUUCUAAAUAAUAUGGGAAGAAAGAAAAUGAAAUAAAAGAUGUUCAGACUGUGAAAGCAAAAAAAUAAUGCUGUCUGUUCACAGAUAAUAUGUUUGAAUAUAUAGAAAAUCUGAAACAGCACAAACCUCUGUGGACUAACAAGUAAUCAAGCAACAUUGCCGGUCACAAAGUUGAUACAGAAAGGUGAAUUUUUUCCUAUUUCCUAGCAAUGAACAAAUGGAAAUUAAAAUUAAAAAACACAAUCCCAUUUAAAUUGUCAUUUCAAAAAAAUAGUGUUUUAAAUGGUAAGUAUAGCAAAAUACACACAAGAUUCAUAUCAGGAAAUCUAUAUAGCCUUCUGAUGAGAGAAAUCUAAGAAGAUUUAAAUAUUAAUAGGAAAUAGGGGUGAUUUUACUUGUUUCUUAUUUGUGUGCCUUUCAUUUCUUCUUGUUGUCUCAUUGAUCUUUCUAGUAUAUCUAGAACUAUACUGAAUUGAAGUAGUCAGAGUGUACAUUCUUAUCUUGUACAUUCUUAUCUUAGAAGGAAAGCUUUCAGUUUGUCUGCACUGAUAAUGAUGUCAGUUGUAGGUUUUUCAUAAAAGGUGUUUAUUUUGUUGCAGAAAUUAAUGUCUAUAUCUAAAUUGUUGAGAGGAUUUAACAAAAAAUUAAAUUUUGUUAAAUGCUUUUUGAACAUCUCCUGUGAUGAUCAGGAAUUUUAUCUUUCAUUUUGUUAAUGUGAUAUAUCACACUGAUUGAUUUGCUUAUGUUAAGCAACCUUAAUUCUCAAGGAUAAAGAGAAAUAAAGAAUAUACAGAAAUGAAAAUAUUGCAUGAUUUCACUUGUUCAAAACAGUUGAAUAUAAAGAAACACUUAGUAGAGUGGGGAGAAAAGGAAAAAAGAGGUCUAGGUUAAAAUGUGCAAAGUCGCACUUACGUAGGGCAAAUAAGUUUAAAUCAUAGCAUGAGAAUGCUAGCUGAUGAUAUUUUAUUGGAUAGUGUGUAUUUGUAUUUUUUAGUUGAUGUUUCCAUACACACAGAAAAGGAAGCCAUGUGAUAUAACAGAGAUUUUUGUUUUCUUGAAUGUAGUAGACAUUUCACUAUAAAUAGGUAUAAAAAAUUUUGUGUACCUUAAAUAGACUUUGUAAAUAGAGAUAAGAAAGACUUAAAUAAAUGGAAAUGCAUUCUAUGUUCAUGGAAUGAAAUAUUAAGAUAUUUGCAAGAUGUAGUUCUUCCCGAUUUGAACUACAGAUUCAAAGAAAUCCCAAUGGAAAUACAACAGAGCUAUUUUUUUAAGAUUUAUUUAUUUUACUUGAAAGUCACAGUUACACAGAGAAAAAAGAAGAGACAGAGAGAGGCAGAGUUGGUCACAGUGGCCGGAGCUGCACCAAUCCAAAACCAGGAGCCAGGAGCUUCUUCUGGAUCUCCCACACAUGUGCAGGGGCCCAAGGACUUGUGCCAUCUUCUGCUGCUUUCCCAGGCCACAGUAGAGGCCUGGAUUUGAAGUGGAGCAGCUGGGACUCAAACCGGUGCCCAUAUGGUUUGCUGGCACUGCAGGUGGCAGCUUUACCCACUACGCAACAGCACCAGCCCCCAGCAAAGCUAUUUUAUGGCUGCUCUAAAGUUUGUAUGGAGUGGCAAAAACUCCACAAUAGCCAACACAAUAUUCAAGGAAAAGAAUGAAGUGUAAGAACUGACAUUGUUAAAUUUAAGACUUGUAGUGAAGACAGUGCAGUAUUUGUGAAAGAAUAGACAAGGUACAGAACAGCGAGCACCGAAAGAAAUGCACACACAUAGUCAUGGUUCAGUAAUCUUUGACAAAGAACAAAGACAGAACAUGAGAACACAUAGCAUUUUCAACAAAUGGUGCUGGGAAACUGGAUAUCCCAUGCCAAAAACAGGGGAAUGUAAACACAAACAUUACACCCCAACAACAGGUCAGUCAACAUGCAGCACAGACCUGAACAUAAACCAAACAUCUUUAAGUUAUUAGCGAUAACACAGGAGAAAGUCUAAAUGACCUUGGGUUUGUUGAAGACUUUUUAGAUAAACAUAGAGAGCAUAAUCCAUUAAAGAAGGAAUGAUGAGCUGAGAUUAGUUAAAAUUAAAAAUACCAGCUCUGUAAAAGACACUGUUGGGAGAAUAAAAAGACAAGCUAUAGACUGGGAGAAAAUAUUUCAAAAGACAUAUCUGAUAAUGGGCUUCUAUACAAAAACACAAAGAACUCUUAAAAUUCAACAAUUAGAAGGCAAAUAACCCGAUCAAAAAUUGGGCCAAAGAUUUUUUUGUUUAGAUUUAUUAUUUUAUUUUAAUUUUUAAGCAAAAUAUUAUGGUUAAACCAAAUACAAAGCAUUUUGAAAGAUUAAUAGAAGGCAGCAUAUACCAAAAGAUGCAAAGGUGGUUAACAUUCAAAAUAAAUAAUGCAAAACAUUCAUGUGGGUGGAAAAUACAAGAAGAAAAUCACACAAUCAUUUAGAUUAAAUGUUAAAAAGUAUUUCAUAAAAUUCAAUAUCUAGUUAUAAAAAACUGCUCACAGCAUAGUAAAAAAUAGCAUUUUCCUUAUUAUGAUUAAUAUUAUUUACAAUGAGGCUAUAAAAAAAAUACAAUUACCACAAAACAUUGAAAACUUUUUCCCUGGGAGUAGAGCUGGACAAGUCUUCCUCUUCUCACUGUCUCUCUUUAACUUUGUCCUGAAGAUUUUGUCAAUGACAUUAAACAACCAAAAGGAAAUAUCAGAUAUAAGGGUCAACUUUUAAGCAAAAACAAGUCAGUAUGUGGAGAUGUCACUUUGUGUACAGAGAUAAAAUGUCUUAAAAAAUUACUUCACCAAAGAAAUAUGCUUUUAAAAAGUAUACUCUGGGGCUGGCGCUGUGGCUCACUAGGUUAAUCCUUCUCCUGUGGCGCCAGCAUCCCAUAUGGACUCUGGGUUCUAGUCCCGGUUGCUCCUCUUCCAGUUCAGCUCUUUGCUGUGGCCCAGGAAGGCAGUGGAGGAUGGCUCAAAUGCUUGGGCGCCUGUACCUACAUGGGAGACCAGGAGGAAGCACCUGGCUCCUGGCUUCGGAUCAGCGCAGUGUGAAGGCUGUAGCGGCCAUUUGGGGGGUGAACCAACAAAAGGAAGACCUUUCUCUCUGUCUUUCUCUCACUGUCUAACUCUACCUGUCAAGUAAAAAAAAAAGUGCAUACUCUAUAUGGUAUGUCAUGAGGGAAAUGUAAAUUAAAAUAAUAGUGAGAUACCUCUGUGUACCUGUUAGAAUGGCCAAAAUCUAGAACACUGAUAAUGCCAAAUGUUGGUGAGGAUGGGGAACAAGAAGAACUCUGAUUCAUUGCUGGUGAGAAUGCAAUAUGGUACAACAACAAUGGAUGCUCUUUUGGCUGUUUCUUGCAAAACUAAACACACUCUUAACAUAGUAUCCAGCAAUCAUACUUCUUAGUAUUUACAAAAAAAAAGAUGUUGAAAACUUAUAUCUACAUAAGAUCUUCAUAAGGAUCCUUAUAGCUGCUUAAUUCAUAAUUGCCAAAAUAUGGAUGCAACCAAAAUGUCCCUCAGUAGGUGGCUGGAUAAAUAAACUGUGCUAUGUCCUGACAAUGGGAUAUUUUUCAUUAUAAAAAAUGAAUGGAACAUCAUUCCAUGGAAGGACAUGGAGGAGAAUUAAAUAUAUAUUACUAGGCCAGCGCCGCAGCUCACUAGGCUAAUCCUCCACCUGCGGUGCCGGCACCCCAGGGUUCUAGUCCUGGUCGGGGCAACAGAUUCUGUCCCGGUUAUCCCUCUUCCAGGCCAGCUCUCUGCUCUGGCCUGAGACUGCAGUGGAGGAUGUCCCAAGUGCUUGGGCCCUGCACCCGCAUGGGAGACCAGGAGAAGUACCUGGCUCCUAGCUUCGGAUCAGCGGGAUACCCUGGCCUGAGCGCGCUGGCCGCAGCGGCCAUUGGUGGGUGAACCCACGGCAAAAGGAAGACCUUUCUCUUUGUCUCUCUCUCUCACUGUCCACUCUGCCUUUCUCUCUCUCUCUCUCUAUAUAUAUAUAUAUAUUACUAAGUGAUGUAUGCUCAUCUGGAAAGGCUACCUGGUGCAUAAUACGACUGCAUGACCUGGAGAACACAAAAAUAUGAAGAGUAAAAAGAUCGAUGUUUGGGGGCAUUAUAGAAGAAGGAUAAAUAGUAGGAGGCAGAGGGCAAUGAGACUACUCCCUAUGAUAGUACAACUACUUUGUACAACAGUACAGCAGCAGACACUUGUCAUUAUCAACUGGUCCGAAUGCACAGAUUGUGUACCAGUAAAAGUCGAUCCUAAUGUAAAUUCUUGGAUUGCUCAGCUUCCAAUAAAUUUCUAUUCUUCAUAAGCCCCUGGUUUGUGAUAUUUUGUUACAGCAGCCUGAAUGGACUAAGAUGUAAACCAUAGACUCUGGGUUGUAAUGAUGUGCCUGUAGAGAUUCAGCAGUUGCCUAAACAACAGUGAGGUAGAGGAUGGUAAGAGUGGAGGAAGCUAUGCAUAGGUGUUGGUGUGGGUUCAUAGGGGGUCUCUGUGCAUGGUGCUCAACUCUGCUGUGAAUAUCAAACUGCUGUUAAAAGUAAGGUGCUCUAACAAUAAGGUCUGAAAAAUAAAGUCUGUUCUAAACAAACAGCAAACUAGAUAGAGCCUCCAGAGCACCCUUAGUCAUUCAGAAAGUCAUUCAAAUAAUUCAGAAAACUCUGAGGAGUGUGUGUGUGUGUGUGUGUGUGUGUGUGCACACAUGUGUUCACAUUAGUAUACAUAUUUUUGAAGUGUUCCUAUGAAUAUAUGUGUCCCUUCCACAAUCCAUGUUCUACCUUAAUCCUCAUUGUGGUAAGUGUUAACAGGUGGAAUACUUUGAGAAGCAAUUAAAUCAUGAGUGCUCUGCCUUCAUGGGUGGAUUAACGCCCUGCAAAAAGGAUGGAGGGAAUUUGUUUAUUCCUGUUUUACCCUGUCACCUCUCUGCCAUGUGAAGACACAGCGUUUGCUGCCUCUGCAGAGAGAGCACAAGGCACCAGCUCUACAGCAGAAAGCAGACUCACUGGACACUGAACAUGCUGCUGCCUUGGUCUUGGACUUCAAGCCCCAAAACUGUGAGAAAUAUAUUUCUAUUAUUUACAAAUGGCUCAGUCCUAGGUAUUUUGUCUUAAUGGUGUUAACAGACUAAGAUGGAUAAUUGCAGGGGCCAGCGUUUUAGUGAAGCAAGUUAAGCUGCAGCCUGUGACGCUGGCAUCUCAUGGGCACCGCUUGGAGACCCAGUUGUUCCAUUUCCAAUCCAGCUCCCUGCUAAAGCACCUAAGAAAAACAGAAGAGGGCCCAAGUGCUUGGGUCCCUGCAUCCAUAUGGGAGUCCCAGAGGAAGCUCCAGGAUCCUGGUGUUGGCUUGGUACAGCCAUGCUCAUUGUGGCCAUUUAAGAAAUAAGCCAACAGCUGGGAGAUCUCUCACGUGCUCACUGUUUCUCUCUCUCUCUCUCCCCUACCUCUCUCUGUAUCUCUGCCUUUCAAAUAAAUGAAAAUAAAUAUUUUUAAAAAUAGGUCAUGGUAAACCUAUGUAUGUGAACAUAGCUUUUUCCUCUCUGAACACUUAAGAGGGCAAGGGAUCACCUGUUGGGGGCGUUAAAUAAACCUUGAAAAAAUGAACCAAUCUCCUGCUUCUUGAAAGAUUAUUAAAGAUCUCCUAGUAAGAAAAUAUCUAGGAUUGUUCUAUCCUAUUAUUUAUAUGGAACAUAAAUGUUUAUUGAUAGUGCUACUUCAGAUGGCUAUAAAACUGGAUUUUGCCAGGAAAAGUGACCACGGGAGAAAUAAUUGCUCUCUGAAGAAAGGGAUAUGGAAGAAUAAGAUCUCCCCUUGUGACAUUAAUGUGGUAGUAAUACACGCAGCAACUGGAAAUGUACUUGAGUACCUGGAGCACCUGUCAUCUUUUUUUGAGGAAUAUGUGUGUGUAACAUAGGUGUGUUUCAUGCAGUGUGUGUGUGUGUGUGUGUGUGUGUACAUACAGGGGUAAGGGCUAGGAGACUGGGAAUAAGAGGUUACAGAAAUUAUAUAAGGUAUAAGGAUAUACAAUACUUACUCCAGCUUUCUAUUUAUUUAAAAGCUUCUUUUAUAUUUAAAGAAUUUAUCUUGUUGGAUCAUAGAAUUACAGGCAUACUGUAAAAAUUUGAAAAGGAUUCUGAUUUUAUCUCUUUCUCCUUUUAACAUAUUAUUUAAAUUCUUGUUCUAGCUUCCUCACAUAUUUUUUGCAUUGCUUUCCCCCACAACAUGUGUACUAAUUUACAUUUUUCUUACAGAUAGUAUAAGUAUUUUUCACAUUGCUAAAUCAUGUUCAUUACCACUCAUUUUCAUCUUUAUGUAGCUGUGUAAGAUUGAAUGUAAACAUUGAUGUAAUCAUCAUCCUACUAUUGGAGUCUAAAGGUUUUCACUUUUUUCUUUGAAAAAUAUUGCCUGAUGACUACCUAAGUACCUAAUGCUUUUGUCACAUUUUGUUUUCUCUCUUUUUGAGAUUUACAUAAUGUAAUUACUGGUUAAAGAAUUUGAAUAUGUGCUGUGGACAUUUGAUGCAGCAAUGAAGACGCUGUUUGGGACACUGGCAUCCCAUAUCGGAGUCUCUGAGUUCAAGUCCUGCUCCACUCCUGAUUCUGGCUUUUUGGAAGGCAUCAGAUGAUGGUUCAAGUGGCCCUGGCCAUCCCUGUGGGAAACCUAAUUGAAUUCUUGGCUCUUGGCUUCAGCUUGACCCAGCCCCAGAUGUUGUGAACAUGUGUGGAGUGAACCAGCAGAUGGGAUAUUUUUCUCUCUCCAUCUCCCUCUAUGUCUCUUUCAAGCAGGUGGCAGUACUAAGCAAGACAAGAUGUGGAGAGACUGAUCCUAUCAGGGAAUCAGUCUCUAUCAUCACGAAACUCAAGGUAUGAACAGUGUUAUCUAGUGUGCAGGAAGAACAGGCAGUUAGCGUUUGGACUGGUGUAGAUUGGUACUAAGUGCUUAGUUGCCUUUUUUGGGGGGAUGUAUAGUGAUUUGAUUCUCUAGUAAGAGAGUGGAUAAAACUGUGCCCAAAACUAUGAAUUAUUUCAAAAAUUAUUCAAACUAUGCAACAAUGGAUUCCCUUGUGAAGUUAAUGGUAUUGGGAUGUUGCUGUGGUUUUUCUCAUAAAUUUCACUGAGCUGCACAAUAUUAAUUUUCAAAGAUAGCAUAAAUAGACAGAAUUUCCUAAAAAUUAAUUGCUAUGGAGAAUACCUGUGAGUAUCUCCCAAGACACAAAUAUUCUAGUGAAUAUAGCUUGAGAUAUAUGGUAUUAAAUCAUAAAUCAUAUUCUUAGGAGCUAAUUCCAGAUCAUUCCUCUGCCUCCUGGAAAAAUAUAUGAACUACGUUAAAAUAAGAAAGAUGUUCAAUUUCCUAAAUUGUCUUUAGAAGUGACAAUUUCUUAUAAAACAUCUUUAUAGCUUGGAUUCUUUACUGACUGAUGCAAAGGCAGUUGCUUCCCUAAUCCAUGUAAUUACUAAAAACUAAAUGCCCAUCUGCAUUAGGAUAUCUGAAGGUCACUGGGGUCUCGACUACUAAAUAUUUAUUUUAUGUAUGUCAUAGAGAAUUAUCUUUAGAAAGAAGGCUCUGGCAAAAUGGAGCCAAGACUUGCAAAGAGCAGUCAUGCAUCAAAAAGAUUGGGCUGAUAAGAAAUGUGUAGACCUUAGAUGGCAGAGAAAGAAUUCCAAGAAAAAGGAUAUGAAAAUACAGAACAUGGCGUAGUUUCCAGUACGGCACAAGUUCCAAAGCAUGCUUGUAACAUUUCCAGUGGAGUCAUGCUAGGCAGUGGGUCUCUGUGGGCUGGUAAGGGGGCCUUCAAAAUGCAAAAGUGACAGCAGAAAGGAACAAAGAAUGGAGGUCCCUAAAUAAUUUUCUCUGUGAACCAUCUUGCCUCAAGAUCUAUCAAGACUUCCUAAAUCCUUGAAGACAACAAUCAUCUGAAACAAUGUCAUCAACAGCAUUGACUCCCUGAAAAUUCUCUAGACAACCUGAGGGUGUUUGGAAGGGAAGAGUGACUCCUAUCAUUUCCAGCAAUGGAAAGAGCAUGUCAUAAAGCAAUUCACAAGUGUAUGGAUGCACCCACCCUAGAAACCUAAAACAAGUGGAAUAUGCAGCCUCCGUAAAGGACUCGUUCAGGCAUAAAGCACCACUCACGGGGACUGUAACCCUUCUGCUGGCGUCUUAUUGGUCAGAGCAAGUCGUGACGAGGCCUGUGGGACAGGGAAGCAUCGUCUCCACCGAGAGACACUGAGGAUGGAGACUGAAGGCUCUGGAGAACCGCGCACUUGCCAACUGCACCUUCACCUUUUCACAGGCUGCUCCUCUCUGAAGUCUUUUCCACAAAACCAUACGUGCAAUACGUGCGCACCUGUCAGAGGUUGCACACUGGAAUCCUAUGUACAGCAUCACACAAGGGAAACAAACUGGUAUUACUGGCAACAUCUAUAAAGGGUAGAAUAGUACAACAUGUGUUUACAAGGAGGGAUUCAAAUGGAAGUCUGUUAAGAGAAAGGUAAGAGGCCGGCGCUAUAGCGUAGCAGGUAAAGCUGCCGCUUGUGGUGCCAGUUCGAGGCCCGGCUGCUCCACUUCCAAUCCAGCUCUGUGCUAAGGCCUGGGAAAGCAGUGGAAGAUGGCCGAAGUCCUUGGGCUGCUGCACCCGCUUUGCCGCACCCACAUGGGAGACCCAGGAGAAGCUCCUGGCUCCUGGCUUCAGAUUGGCUCAGCUCUGGCUGUUGCAGCCAUUUGAGGAGUGAACAGCAAAUGGAAGACCUCUCUUUCUCUCUGCCUCUCUUCUCUCUCUGUGUAACUCUGACUUUCAGAUAAAAAAAAAUUUUUUUUAAAUAAAAGAAAGUUACAGAAUACUAUACCAUUCUGUACUAGUUCCCUAUUGCUGCCAUAACAAAUUACCACAAACAUUGUGUCCAAAAACAACAAUCGUUUAUCUUUUUAAUGCAAGAUUUAUUUAAAUUCUGUGAACUAAAAGUCAUUUGGAUCAACUUAUCAGUGUUUAUGUGAUCAUACACUUUUUUCCUCAGAAGCCUUUUAUUUAAGAAAUACAAAUUUCAUGCAUUUCAUAAUUACAACUUUAGGAAUACAGUAAUUCUUCCCACUAUACCCGCCCUCUCACCCACACUCCCAUCCCUCUUCCUCCUCCCACUCUUAUUUCCAUUCUUUUUUUUUUUUUUUUUGCUGAGAUCUAUUUUCAUUUAGCUUUGUACCAAUUCGAUUUAUUCUCCUACAUAAAUUACAUAUUCUGGAGGUCAAGGGGCUGUAUUCCUUCCAAGGACUUCAGGGGAAGAGUCAGCACCCUUUCCUGUUUCAAUUACUGCUGCUGGCUCCAUGCCUUGGUGUGUGAUCCUUUCCUUGACUCACUCCAACCUCUUGCUUCCAUCCCCACGCUGUCCACUCACUCUGAACCUCUUGUCUCCCUCCUCUAAGGAUAACCAUGGAUAAUCUUCCCAUUUUCAAAUCCUUAAUGAAAUCAGCCUGCAAAGCCCUUUGUGUUGUGUACAGUAAUAUAAGCACAAGAAGCAAGAUAAGGAUGUGGCCAAAUUUGGAAACCAUUAUUCAACCUACUACUAAUAGAAUAGAAGUUCACUUUUGUAAGUACAUGUAGAUAUACAGCCAUGUGUGCAUGCAAACACAAAACAUUUGGAGUCAUGAAAAAAGGUCUGUAGAAAUUUGUAGCAACUUAUCACCAUGGUUACCCUAGAGAACAGGAGCAGAUAAAGGAGAACAGGUGGGAGGCAAUUGCAUGUUUUAGUUUGUAUAUAUCUGUACUACUCUCUGUGAUUUUUAACAUUUUAAAGUUAAUUAAUGAAAUUAAACAUGCAAUUAGCAUGUAAUUCAAUAUUUUAAAACUUGUUUACAAGCUUUAUUAUAAUUAAAGUAAUUGAAAAUAUCCAUGAAUUUCAUAUUUACAUAUUUUUACUUAAUGUCUUGCUUAUAUUUAUGUUAAUAAUAAUGAUUAAUAGU